AGAGGGUGCGAGCGUUAAUCGGAAUUACUGGGCGUAAAGAGUGCGUAGGUGGAUUGGAUAGUCGGAUGUGAAAGCCCAAGGCUUAACCUUGGAACUGCAUUCGAAACUUCCAGUCUAGAGUACAGUAGAGGGUAGUGGAAUUUCCGGUGUAGCGGUGAAAUGCGUAGAGAUCGGAAGGAACAUCAGUGGCGAAGGCGACUACCUGGACUGAUACUGACACUGAGGCACGAAAGCGUGGGGGGAGCAAACGGGAUUAGAUACCCCGGUAGUCCACGCCGUAAACGAUGAGAACUAGCCCGUUGGGAAACCCUUGUGUUUCUUAGUGGCGCAGCUAACGCGAUAAGUUCUCCGCCUGGGGAUACGGCCGCAAGGUUA
rnacentral:rRNA from 1 species